UCACGACAAUAGCAAACCCCAAGUAAUUGGGGGACGCAAAACCUCCGAGCCUAACGACGAAUCGCCGAAGGCCAGCGGGGCUGCCGAA
rnacentral:ncRNA from 1 species